rnacentral:tRNA from 1 species
AUAAAAAUAAGUUAAUAAAACUAUUAGUUUCAUAAUCUAAAAAUAAGACUAAAAUUCUUUUUUUAUA